UCCUACGGGGAGGCAGCAGUGGGGAAUAUUGGACAAUGGGCGAAAGCCUGAUCCAGCCAUGCCGCGUGUGUGAAGAAGGUCUUCGGAUUGUAAAGCACUUUAAG
rnacentral:rRNA from 1 species